rnacentral:lncRNA from 1 species
ACGGUGGACUUGAGGGAGGAUGAUGAAUUUAGUAGCCAUGAGAGUAUUGGGUGUGAUUGAUAUCUAUCUACACGAAUAAAGUAGAAGAGAAAUGCUCCACAGGCUGUCACCUCACCUCUCCUAUCUCCAUAUCACGCCACGUGUCAAGCAGAGACAACUUCUUCUUUACUCUUUUGCUUCGGCGGUUUUUUUUCUUCUUUUCUCUUUGGGCUUUCUGUGAAUUUAUUGGGCGGGCAUUUUUUUUAGGGUUAGCUUUGUCAUCUUCAUCUG